AUUGACCGCUGGCGGCAUGCCUAACACAUGAAAGUCGAACGGCAGCAUGCUCUGUAGCAAUACAGAGUGAUGGCGAGUGGCGGCCGGGUGAGUAAUACGUAGGGAUCUGCCUUGAAGAGGGGGACAAGCCGGGGAAACUCGGGCUAAUACCGCAUGAUACUCUCAGGAGGAAAGGGUUGGCGCAAGCCAGUCGCUUCAUGAGGAAGCUACGUACGAUUCGCUAGUUGGUAAGGUGAAGGCUUACCAAGGCAGAGAUCGGUAGCUGGUCUGAGAGGAUGACCAGCCACACUGGGACUGAGACACGGCCCAGACUCCUACGGGAGGCAGCAGUGGGGAAUAUUGGACAAUGGGGGCAACCCUGAUCCAGCGAUGCCGCGUGUGUGAAGAAGGCCUUCGGGUUGUAAAGCACUUUAGUUGGGGAAGAAGGCUUGCGGUUGAAUAGGCCGCAAGAUUGACGGUACCCAAAGAAUAAGCACCGGUUAACUCUGUGCCAGCCGCCGCAGUAA
rnacentral:rRNA from 1 species